GGUCCAGACUCCUACGGGAGGCAGCAGUGGGGAAUAUUGCACAAUGGGGGAAACCCUGAUGCAGCGACGCCGCGUGAGCGAAGAAGUACCUCGGUAUGUAAAGCUCUAUCAGCAGGGAAGAAGAUGACGGUACCUGACCAAGAAGCUCCGGCUAAAUACGUGCCAGCAGCCGCGGUAAUACGUAGGUGGCGAGCGUUGUCCGGAUUUACUGGGUGUAAAGGGAGCGUAGGCGGCCUGCCAAGUCUGAUGUGAAAUGCCGGGGCUCAACCCCGGGGCUGCAUUGGAAACUGGCAGGCUGGAGUGUCGGAGAGGCAGGCGGAAUUCCUAGUGUAGCGGUGAAAUGCGUAGAUAUUAGGAGGGACACCAGUGGCGAAGGCGGCCUGCUGGACGAUGACUGACGCUGAGGCUCGAAAGCGUGGGGAGCAAACAGGAUUAGAUACCCUAGUAC
rnacentral:rRNA from 1 species